CUUUAUUUUCCAAUACAGUAGUGUCCACAUAUCCCAUCUUGCACGUACACACACAGAGGUGAGAGUGAAUAUGUCACCUCUGGAGCAUUUUUUGAUGGGUUAAAGGGGGACCGUGGGAGAACACGGCUUCAGCUCUCUGAAGCAGCACUCACCCUGGAAAGGGAGAUUAACUCCAGAUUUACCUACACUGAUUGUACGCUCUUCAUUACGUUACUCUGAAGGGACAUCAAUCACAGUCUAUCAGAAAUCCAGGAAAUCCUUAAGAACAGUGUAUCAGGUCUUAAAGUGGCGCUCUAGCAGUAGCCGCGCCGUGCUUAAGGUGGUGCCUCAGCAGUAGCCGCGCCGUGCUUAAGGUGGCACCUUAGUGUGCUUAAGGUGGCGCCUCAGCAGUAGCCGCGCCGUGCUUAAGGUGGCGCCUCAGCAGUAGCCGCGCUGUGCUUAAGGUGGCAACUUAGUGUGCUUAAGGUGGCGCCUCAGCAGUAGCCACGCCGUGCUUAAGGUGGCGCCUCAGCAGUAGCCGCGCCGUGCUUAAGGUGGCGCCUCAGCAGUAGCCGCGCUGUGCUUAAGGUGGCACCUUAGUGUGCUUAAGGUGGCGCCUCAGCAGUAGCCGCGCCGUGCUUAAGGUGGCGCCUCAGCAGUAGCCGCGCCGUGCUUAAGGUGGCGCCUCAGCAGUAGCCGCGCCGUGCUUAAGGUGGCGCCUCAGCAGUAGCCGCGCCGUGCUUAAGGUGGCGCCUCAGCAGUAGCCGCGCCGUGCUUAAGGUGGCGCCUCAGCAGUAGCCGCGCCGUGCUUAAGGUGGCGCCUCAGCAGUAGCCGCGCUGUGCUUAAGGUGGCGCCUUAGUGUGCUUAAGGUGGCGCCUUAGCAGUAGCCGCGCCGUACUUAAGGUGGCGCCUCAGCAGUAGCC